rnacentral:rRNA from 1 species
UACAGAGGUCUCAAGCGUUGUUCGGAUUCAUUGGGCGUAAAGGGUGCGUAGGUGGCGGGGUAAGUCUGGUGUGAAAUCUCGGGGCUCAACCCCGAAACUGCACUGGAUACUGCCUUGCUCGAGUACUGGAGAGGAGAUUGGAAUUUACGGUGUAGCAGUGAAAUGCGUAGAUAUCGUAAGGAAGAUCAGUGGCGAAGGCGAAUCUCUGGACAGUUACUGACACUGAGGCACGAAGGCCAGGGGAGCAAACGGG